GACGAGCCGUGCAAACGUUGUUCGGAAUCACUGGGCUUGAAGGGCGCGUAGGCGGGCAGCCAAGUCCGGGGUGAAAUCUUUCGGCUCAACCGGAAAAUUGCCUUGGAUACUGGCUGUCUUGAGCGAGGUAGGGGCAUGUGGAACUUCCGGUGGAGCGGUGAAAUGCGUUGAUAUCGGAAGGAACGCCGGUGGCGAAAGCGACGUGCUGGACCUCUUCUGACGCUGAGGCGCGAAAGCUAGGGGAG
rnacentral:rRNA from 1 species